AAUCUUGGAUCUCUGGCUAUUUGGUUUUCAUCUUCAUGCUGCCUUUUUCUUUAGUCUUAUUGCUUGGUGAAAUCAUUUAAACGUACAUCUGAUUACUGGCCAAUCGAUAUCUUUGUCAAUCUCUAUUUAUCCUCAUGUCAGAUGAAUCACAUAGUUUGGUAAACAGUUGGUAAAAGAGUUGAAGUUGCAACCAGAUGGAUGAUAUGCCUGCUUUUGAAGGUUCCACCAGAAGAGCAGAAGCUUGCAGUCAUUCAACUGUGGUGAAUCUUAUUUUUAUGUUUUUGGAUCAAUUGACCUAUCUAGACUGGGUUGUAGAGUCAUCUAGGUUUGUUUUUGAGAGAGAUGUAUGUCUAGACUUGGAUUUGAAUUUGUUCAAAUUUGGAUAGCUUGUGAAUUUGGUGGAAGAAUGUUGAUAUUUUUUUAAUG